AAUAUACGAAAGCUAAACUACACUGUUGCUGUUCAUUUCAGAAAAGACAAAAUGAAUGAAUAGUGGAUUGUCGAUUUUGCCCUUCAUCCUAUAGCCUAAACCGUCCUUGCCUCUUCAUACUUAUCCCCUUUCUUCUACAGUCCAGUCCUGUAGUCAUUCGUAUCAAUUAUCAAGAACGAUCGAGAGAUAGAGAGAGACAAAGAAAUCGGGUGUUUUUUUUGUUCUUCUGUGUAUCGAUCGAUCAUUAGGGUUGGGAAGAGGUCCGUGCGAAACCUAAGCUACACUGUUGCGAAUAGAGAGUCGUCGAACGCAGGUAUCGAUCUUGAUUGUGUGACUAUUUCAACUGCAUCCGUGAAGCUGCCAGAUACUAACGUUGGGCUGAUAACAAGUACAGAAGACCGCUGGGGUAGGAGAAAGAAGAGGAAAGAUUGAAGAUUUUGGUCGACUGUCAGACGGUUUGGGUUGAGGAAGGUUUUAAUAGAAGAAGAGAGGAAGACAGAAGGCGAAACAAAGAAGAGAGAGAGAGAGAUGAGAACGGGAAAGAAGGAAAAGAAGAAGAAGAGAGAGGCAGAAGUCAGAUUAGUUUUCAAUUUACGUUUGUUUUGGAGAAGAUUUUGGGAACAGUGUGCUGUCGGACAGAUCGUGAAAGUGCUUUGCAUUUUUAGUGGUUCGAGUUUAUGACGGCAAGAUUGGGUUGACAACAAAUAGAAUAGACUAUCAACUCAACCACGAUCGAGAAACAAAGAGAUUGGGUGUGUUUCUCGCGGUUCUGGAAAAGAAAAGAUAACAGGAGAAAUUUAAUCCCAAGGGCUGUUUGGAUAUCUCUGGGAGGUAGGCUUGGGUUCGCUUUGGAAGAGGUGUGUGCCGAGAUUGUGAUCAAGUUUAGGAGACGGGCUUUGGGAGCAAAAGAGGACUUAUUCUCACAUGUGGUCUGGGAAUCAAGUCCCCUCUGACUGUAUGCAAAGAAGUGCGUGUAUUAUUCUUCUGCAGCUGUUCCUGUGUACAUUAUUUGGGAUUAUCUCACUGUGUCAUUGCUAUUCAGGGUUGGGAAGAGGUCCGUGCGAAACCUAAGCUACACUGUUGCGAAUAGAGAGUCGUCGACCGAGACAACUGAAAAAAACCCUAAUGACUAUACAUCACGAGAUACAGGACUGUAGAAGAUCAGGCUGCCAUUGCUUUUUCGCUUUUCCCGUGUCUUGGUUGUGUGAUGCGCAUAAACAGAUGGAUCUGGAACUGAUCUGCAGUCUUACAGUAAUUCUCUUCUGACUCUGCAACUCUGAUCGUCCAUCUUCGACAGCCCAUCAGCCUUCUCUCCGUCGAUACCGCGAAGGUGAAGUUUCAAUUUCGCCGAGUAAUCCUCGCUUUGCUUCCGUCUCCAGAGUUUUCACUCAUAUUCAGCCUGAAGAAGAUCUCAAGUCCCUGUUUUCGUCCUUGGCUGCUCAGUCACACAGCGACGGCCAAUUCAUCUAUCCUUCGGUUUUUCAGCUAUACUUGAACCAUUGAAUCAACUUUUGUCAUCAGAGGUGAUCAACUUGGUGUUCAAAUUUGCGGUUUAUCGAUUUCCUAAGUUUUAGGCUUUCUUCUUUAGCAUUGUUUUGAUCGUUCAUUUGUCAAGGAGAGUUUCAAAUUGGAUUGGGGUUUGCAGAAGCCUCAAGGUUUCACCGAUUGCUUUUGAGCUUGAACCAGGUAACUAAUAGUUUGGAUCAACUCCAACUACAAUUGGAGCAACUACUUUUUUACAUCUACUCCAGUUACGCUGGCUUAGAACUAAACCUUUUGUAAAGCUAUAACUGAAGCAGCUAAACCUGUUGUACAACUACCAUUUCUGAACCAACCUCAGUAGCAACUUUGUUAACCUAUUUUUCUAACACACUUUCGUCACGUUAACCUUUUUGUAUAAAAAAUCUUUCACUCUUUCAAUAGAAUGCAAUAAUUUUCCUUUUGUA